CGGGGCGAAACGGGCCCCGAGGAGCCGCGACACACACCGGGCCCGGCAGCGCAGCGGCCGCCAGAGACGCCCCGCACACGGCGCUUCCGGCCUCGGACCGGAAGGAGUCGCGGUGACGCGACCAAAUCUCGCGAUCUUUGUGCCAGCGGCCCGGCCCCGCCUUCCCCAGCGGAAGCUCCCUUCGCGGCGGGGGUGGGGGGGGGGUUGGGGGAGGGGCAGGAGCUGUAAUGCGCCUGCGCCUGUCGGAGCCUCUUCAGGGGGCCACUUCUCGCGGGAUCUGAUUCCCAGGCUCCACCCCUUCACGCGUUUGACGUUUGUUGGCAAACAGUUCCGGCGGCUGGGGGCUCCGGGGGUCGGCGGGGUGGUCGCCGCGUGGGCGGGGGCGGGCUGGGGCGCGAGGAACCCGCGGUUGCAGUUUAUGUGAGCAGCGGGGUGUUGGCGCUCCUGGCUGCGCGGCCUGCGGUGGCCUCCCCGGCUGGCGGACGGGCCCGCGGCCCCAGGACGGGAGAGAUGGGGCGGCCAGGAAAUGAAGCCAGAAUCCACAGAUGUCAUUAUCCAUCUGCAUACUUUUGUUUACUACCCAGAGGGCAAGGAUAUUGCAUUUUAAAAGUGUCUGGACUUUUGUUCUUUCUUAUCACAAAUGACUUGAGAAGCUCUGACCAUUCACGUUUACCCUGAGUGAAAGCCCCAGUCAAAGCCUUGCUUCCUGGAGAGCUUUGAGAUUCUGACACUUAGUGAGUCUGAGGCACAGCACAGGGUUGAAGACAGUAGCAGAACAGGGCUCCUGACCUCAAGGGCCUAUCAUCUAGUUCUGGGGAGAGGACGAGGGCACUAACAAGUCCUCGAGUAACAGGUGAGUGUGAGCUCUGCUAUGAUAAAGGGGAAGUCCCAGGUUUGGUAGAGCUUCCAAGGUGUGAUAAUUACACUCAGCCGGAAGGGGUGAGUGUGGAGGGUGGUCAGGAAGGGCUGUGGAGCCUGGGGCGGAUAAGGGGAUUUGGAAGGGUGGGCGUAGGAUGGUGAGGGAAAAACAGUUGCCAAAGUGCAGAGGUUGGAGCAGCUCAGGCAAAGGGGAGGGACAAGAGGGUCACCCAUUGACUGUUACACAUGGUGCACGGGAACUGGUGGG
rnacentral:lncRNA from 12 species